GUAGGUGAACCUGCGGAAGGAUCAUUAAAAGAACUGGCUUCGGCCGGCUGCGAGAGCGAGCCUAUGGGGACGCUUGCGGCCAGGAACUUGUCGGCGCCCUCCGGCCCGCCCGAUACUCGGGCGCGUGCUCUAAACUGGAGCGGCGUACAAUCAUAUCGACGACGAGCCCGCCUGCGCCGUUUGCGCGACCACUGGCCCCGCCGACGCGUCACCCUCCGUGAAACGUCCCUUUGCUUAGGCAGCGCACCCGCGGUUUUGCCGCGGGCCGGUCAGUCUGCCCGAAGCCCCAACCAAACCACUUUUUGAACUUUUGUCCGAACCAGUCUAAUGACUUUAAAACUUUCAACAACGGAUCUCUUGGUUCUC
rnacentral:misc_RNA from 1 species